rnacentral:tRNA from 2 species
GUUUAUGAAGCAUAAAGGCUAUGCAAGAGACCUAAGCUCUCUUUAUAGGGGUUCAAAUCCCCUCAUUAACU